rnacentral:rRNA from 1 species
UACGUAGGGUGCAAGCGUUAAUCGGAAUUACUGGGCGUAAAGCGUGCGCAGGCGGUUUUGUAAGUCUGACGUGAAAUCCCCGGGCUCAACCUGGGAAUUGCGUUGGAGACUGCAAGGCUGGAGUCUGGCAGAGGGGGGUAGAAUUCCACGUGUAGCAGUGAAAUGCGUAGAGAUGUGGAGGAACACCGAUGGCGAAGGCAGCCCCCUGGGUCAAGACUGACGCUCAUGCACGAAAGCGUGAGGAGCAAACAGG